GCCCCGCGCCGCCUGCCGCGGCCGCGCGGUCCGGGGCCCCCACGUCCCCGCCCGCUUCCCUCCAAGCCCCACGAGCCUUUGGGCCGAGACCUCGCCCGCCCCCGGGCCCGGCGCGCGGAGGGUGGAGCGCAGCGCGGGCGCCGCGGAGGCGGAGGCGGGGACGGCGGGGACCGCGAGGACGGCGGGGACCGCGAGCCCCGCUCCCGCUGCUCACCUGCGCUCCGGCCCGCGGCGCCCGCGAGUCCCGCGCCCCCCGCCGCGCAGGGACCGCCCCCGGCCUCCCAGGGCCCCCCCGCCCCCCGGGAAGUCGGCCAAGGCUUCCGGCGCUGGGUGCACCUCUCGGACGACACCCCCCAUCGCACAGGCGCCGGCAGUUCUGGAGGCCAGUGGGAGUCCGCCCGCCAGGGGCCCCGGCUGCCUGAGACCCCCGGGGUCCUCUUGUCUGCGGCGCUUCCAGCGAGAUUCUCCUAGCAGGGUCGCUCCCACUCCUCUGGCCGGAAAGGUUCUGGCAGAAAUGUGCGGAAUUUGAGUCUCUUCUCCCAAGCGUGGGGGUGGGGGAGAUGGGGAGUGGGAGAAGGGACCAGACCCUGGAAACCUGAAUCCGAUGCCUGGAAGGCGCUCAAACCAAUCACUAUUGAAGUGGCUGUGGGACACCGCCUCAAACCUUAUGGUUAGAAGUAUUUGAGAAGACUUGGGUCCAAUAUCCCAAAGCUAAAGUCCUACUGGUUUCAUUGCUUUGUUUGCUUAGAAAAGGAAUCUCGGUUCUUUGGUUUCUGCCCCACAAGUGACCCGAAUUGCUGUGCCGUAGGGUUGCAGUUUGGGAACCAGUCUAUCAGCGCUGUGCCGGUCGUACUAGGAAGCGCUUUCUUCUCUCUGGGAGACACGAGAAGUGCAAGACAAACAGGCCUGAGAGCGAGCAUCGGAAGAUAAAAUUUAGCAGAUGGAAAUAUUUGGGGAUCUUUUUCUCUGUUGUACAGCAGAUCAUUUUUCACAAUAUGGGCCAAUAACAAUCUCAUAAUCACCCACUCUGACGACCUUCGGAGUUACGAGGCACAAAGGAACUGCUGCUGUCAGUGGGGAUAAAAAAGGAAAUUGAAAAUUUAUGAAGCCCUGUAUAAACGUCAGGACUUUCUCUGGGCAGAAGUCAGGCCAAGGGGCCCUGCUCCUGCUCCAUCUCACCCCAUCCUGGCCAGCUUGCUGACAAUAAUAUGAAGAGGGGAAGUGGAGGGACAGUGAGCGGUCAGGUGUGACCCAGUUCCAAGCCAAUGAGUUGUAAGGAGAAUUGAGAGGCUUCAACACAUAUUUGCCUCCCUGAGGAAAAGAGGAGGGGAGGAGAAAGACUCUCAUUCUCCUCUCUAGUCAAACCUUAACCUGAGUCGCCUUUGGACGCAGUCAAGUGAGGAUGGGAUGUCUGGAGCUACAGCAGGAUCUUGAGAUCAUGAGGGGCAGACCGGAAGAGUCAAAGCCAUCAUGCAAAUACCGAGCUUACCCCAUAAGGAUGACUUCAUAUGCAUACAAAGGGCUGCCAUAUUGCAAACUGGGUGACUUAAAACAACAGAAAUUUAUUGUCACACUGUUCCAGAAGCUAGAAGUCUAAAAUCAAGAUGUCAACAGAGCCCUGUUCCCUCUGAAACCUGUCAAAGAGAAUCCUUCCGGGACACCUGGGUGGCUCUGCGGUUGACGGCUGCCUUUGCCUCGGGGCAUGAUCCCAAUUCCGGGAUGGAGUACCACAUCAGGCUCCCUAUGAGGGGCCUGCUUCUCCCUCUGCCUAUGUCUCUGCCUCUCUCUGUGUC